rnacentral:rRNA from 1 species
UCAAUCUCGUGCGGCUAUAUAUACCGCCGGUCCCUCUAAGAAGAUAUAUAAGUACGCCGGUAGUGAAGCAGCCGCCGAAGCGGCACCUCUCGGAUACCGGUAGGCACGUCUAUUUAAUAGGCUAGAGUUACGUUCGUUAC